UCGUCCGUCAAGGUGUUUCAGCAGGAAAAGCCUUGGCAGAAUUAUAUAUUCCUGAAAUGAGGGUUCAUACCUACCGUCUGGAAUUGGUUUCAUGGUGGUAUCAGAUGGGUUAAAUCAGCCCCCCAUUUUCACACCGGAAGUGGCCUUUUAUUGUACUUUCGGCAAGUUCCGCUGUGGCAGACUAUCAAAUUCGAAUUUAGCAUCACUUUUAUGGGAAACCAUUUUGCAUUUCAUCGCGGUAUCAAGUCGGUUCGAAAUUUUGCGAUCGACUCUUCUACCAUUAAGUUUUUAUCUAUUCGCCUAUUUAGUCAGUGCUUGUAGUAAGCUUGUUAUGUACGGGAACCACGGUGGAAAUAAAUAUUUGUAUAUUAAUAGGGCAACUUCAGUCCAGUA